rnacentral:lncRNA from 1 species
AUAUCAGAUAAUUGCCGUCAUGGAAAUAAUGGUAACUCUAUAGACCUUCCCCUUAAACGCGCACCUGAUAUUUCCUGCCGAUGGAAAACAAGAAGCGUUGGGUUUUCCUACGCUUACGGCGCCAAUCGUUUCUCUUUUAGUACAAUUUCUUGGAACUUCGGUACUUCCUUUGACAUAAAACUAAUCUCUUUGCUACUUAUUUAAAAUUUACAUCAUUCCGAUUGAAGACACGGUCAGGAGCGGUAGACUUCAGUUGAUUGCUUGCUAAAGUGCAUUGUUGUUCAAGUGGUUGCAGUAAUCGGUUUGGGUUGAUUCAUUAAAGAUGAAAUAUUUUCUCUUUUUGUUGUCUUUCGUCGCAUUAUCUAUGGCACAACGUCCAACCUAUGCGGGAACAAGUGCCAAAGGUUAUCCAGAAUUAGCGAGUCGAUUUGCAGCUCAAGAUGCACCAGAUAUGAGUAAUCAAGCGACUGUUGUAAACCGUCUAGGUGAUCCAGAUUCCAGUGAUCAGAAAAUUCCCGUUGAUGCCAGAGGUGAUGCUGUUCUUGUGAGCAGGUUGAAUCAAUGGCCAAGAGAAAACAGACCAUUUUGGUUGAUUAAUUCUGAUCACAUUGAAAAUCACCGACGUACUGGAGUGGCUGGACAGACACAAUCUUCUGAUCAAACCAAUGACAGACAGAUCCAGACUAGAUUUGGUGGUUUAGAGGCGAAUACCAUAAAACCAGCUAGUUCGAGAGGAUUCUUUGCUGGUACUUCAGCUUAGGUCACAACCACGUGAUUUUGAAUACCUGUUAAUAAGUUUUAUAUGUUAAAAUGUUAAGCGAAUGGACUGAUUUGAGAAUAUUUUAGUCGUUAAGACAUAUCAUUAUAAUGUUAUUAUUAUUGAUAGUUAACAUUUAAAAGUUGUUUUAGAUUUGUAAUGCAAAUUCUGACUGAAAUUUUAAUGAAACAAAGAAUGAAGCAUUGUAUGGAAAUGAUUGAUUCACCUUGAAUGGAUUUUAUAUAUGCCUGUGGGCAGAUUAUUGCUAUUUUAAAUUAAUAAAGCUAAUUGAUUUUAUUCAAAUACAA